CCUACGCGCUGCAGCAGUGAGGAAUAUUGCGCAAUGGGCGAAAGCCUGACGCAGCGACGCCGCGUGAGGGAUGAAGGUCUUCGGAUCGUAAACCUCUGUCAGCAGGGAAGAACGGUCACUGUGCUAAUCAGCAGUGAAUUGACGGUACCUGCAAAGGAAGCACCAGCUAACUCCGUGCCAGCAGCCGCGGUAAUAAGGAGGGUGCGAGCGUUAAUCGGAAUUACUGGGCGUAAAGCGCUCGUAGGCGGUAUGUCAAGUCAAGGGUGAAAUCCCCGCGCUCAACGUGGGAACUGCAGUUGAAACUGGCAAACUGGAGUGUGUGAGAGGAUAGUGGAAGUCCAGGUGUAGGAGUGAAAUCCGUAGAUAUCUGGAGGAACAUCAGUGGCGAAGGCGACUAUCUGGAACAUAACUGACGCUGAGGAGCGAAAGCGUGGGUAGCAAACAGGAUUAGAUACCCUUGUAGUC
rnacentral:rRNA from 1 species